rnacentral:lncRNA from 1 species
CAGAAUAAUGGCCCGGUCUCUCAAAUCGAAUAGCCGUCCAAGAGAAUAAUGUCCCUGUCUCUCAAAGCCAGAAUAAUGCCCCGUGUCUCUCUCUAAGCAGGAAUAUUGCCCUGUGUCUCUCAAAGCAGAAUCAUGCCCCGUGCUCUCAAAGCGGAAUAAUGUCCCGUGUCUCUCAAAGCGGAAUAAUGUCCCGUGUCUCUCAAAGCAGAAUAAUGCCCGGUCUCUCAAAGCAGAAUAAUGCCCGUGUCUCUCAAAGCGGAUAAUGCCCAGUCUCUCAAAGCGGAAUAAUAAUGUCGGGGUCUGUGGAGAGGAGG